rnacentral:rRNA from 1 species
CAAGAGCGUAUGUAAAAGUUGUUGCAGUUAAAAAGCUCGUAGUUGAACCUUGGGUUUGGUUGGCCGGUCCGCUUUUUUGCGAGUACUGGAUUCAACCGAGCCUUUCCUUCUGGCUAACCAGUCGUUUCGGCGGCUGGCGAACCAGGAUUUUUACUUUGAGAAAAUUAGAGUGUUCAAAGCAGGCAUUAGCUCGAAUAUAUUAGCAUGGAAUAAUAGAAUAGGACGUUAUGGUUCUAUUUUGUUGGUUUCUAGGACCAUCGUAAUGAUUAAUAGGGACGGUCGGGGGCAUCAGUAUUCAGUUGUCAGAGGUGAAAUUCUUGGAUUUACUGAAGACUAACUACUGCGAAAGCAUUUGCCAAGGACGUUUUCAUUAA